GACGAACGCUGGCGGCGUGCUUAACACAUGCAAGUCGAGCGGUAAGGCCCUUUCGGGGGUACACGAGCGGCGAACGGGUGAGUAACACGUGGGUGACCUGCCCUCAGCUCUGGGAUAAGCCUGGGAAACCGGGUCUAAUACUGGAUAUGACUCCAUGACGCAUGUUGUGGGGUGGAAAGCCUUGUGCGGCUGAGGAUGGGCCCGCGGCCUAUCAGCUUGUUGGUGGGGUGAGGCCUACCAAGGCGACGACGGGUAGCCGGCCUGAGAGGGCGACCGGCCACACUGGGACUGAGACACGGCCCAGACUCCUACGGGAGGCAGCAGUGGGGAAUCUUGCGCAAUGGGCGAAAAGCCUGACGCAGCGACGCCGCGUGAGGGAUGACGGCCUGU
rnacentral:rRNA from 1 species